GGGGAAUAUUGCACAAUGGGGGAAACCCUGAUGCAGCGAUGCCGCGUGGAGGAAGAAGGUUUUCGGAUUGUAAACUCCUGUUGAAGAGGACGAUAAUGACGGUACUCUUUUAGAAAGCUCCGGCUAACUACGUGCCAGCAGCCGCGGUAAUACGUAGGGAGCGAGCGUUGUCCGGAAUUACUGGGUGUAAAGGGAGCGUAGGCGGGAUGGCAAGUCAGAUGUGAAAACUAUGGGCUCAACCCAUAGACUGCAUUUGAAACUGUUGUUCUUGAGUGAGGUAGAGGUAAGCGGAAUUCCUGGUGUAGCGGUGAAAUGCGUAGAGAUCAGGAGGAACAUCGGUGGCGAAGGCGGCUUACUGGGCCUUUACUGACGCUGAGGCUCGAAAGCGUGGGGAGCAAACAGGAUUAGAUACCCUGGUAGUCCACACUGUAAACGAUGAUAGCUAGGUGUGGGGGGUCUGACCCCUUCCGUGCCGGAGUUAACGCAAUAAGCUAUCCACCUGGGGAGUACGACCGCAAGGUUGAAACUCAAAGGAAUUGACGGGGGCCCGCACAAGCAGUGGAUUAUGUGGUUUAAUUCGAAGCAACGCGAAGAACCUUACCAGGUCUUGACAUCCGACUAACGAGAUAGAGAUAUGUCAGGUGCCCUUCGGGGAAAGUCGAGACAGGUGGUGCAUGGUUGUCGUCAGCUCGUGUCGUGAGAUGUUGGGUUAAGUCCCGCAACGAGCGCAACCCCUGCCAUUAGUUGCUACGCAAGAGCACUCUAAUGGGACCGCUACCGACAAGGUGGAGGAAGGUGGGGACGACGUCAAAUCAUCAUGCCCCUUAUGACCUGGGCUACACACGUAAUACAAUGGCCGUUAACAGAGGGAAGCAAAGCGGUGACGCAGAGCAAAACCCUAAAAACGGUCCCAGUUCGGACUGUAGGCUGCAACCCGCCUACACGAAGUUGGAAUUGCUAGUAAUCGCGGAUCAGCAUGCCGCGGUGAAUACGUUCCCG
rnacentral:rRNA from 1 species